rnacentral:rRNA from 1 species
AACGAACGCUGGCGGCAUGCCUAACACAUGCAAGUCGAACGAGACCUUCGGGUCUAGUGGCGCACGGGUGCGUAACGCGAGGGAACCUGCCCUUAGGGUCGGAAUAACUCCCCGAAAGGGGUGCUAAUACCGGAUAAUGGCUUCGGACCAAAAAUUUAUCGCCUUUGGAUGGGCCCGCGUUGGAUUAGCUAGUUGGUAGGGUAAAAGCCUACCAAGGCGACGAUCCCUAGCUGGUCUGAGAGGAUGAUCAGCCACACUGGGACUGAGACACGGCCCAGACUCCUACGGGAGGCAGCAGUGGGGAAUAUUGGACAAUGGGCGAAAGCCUGAUCCAGCAAUGCCGCGUGAGUGAUGAAGGCCUUAGGGUUGUAAAGCUCUUUUACCCGGGAUGAUAAUGACAGUACCGGGAGAAUAAGCUCCGGCUAACUACGUG